rnacentral:rRNA from 1 species
CAGCCGCCGCGGGAAUACGAGGGGGGCAAGCGUUGUUCGGAAUUAUUGGGCGUAAAGGGUGCGUAGGCGGUUUGACAAGUCUUAUGUGAAAUCUUCGGGCUCAACCCGAAGUCUGCAUGAGAAACUGUCGGGCUUGAGUAUGGGAGAGGUGAGUGGAAUUUCCGGUGUAGCGGUGAAAUGCGUAGAUAUCGGAAGGAACACCUGUGGCGAAAGCGGCUCACUGGACCAUAACUGACGCUGAUGCACGAAAGCUAGGGGAGCAAACAGGAUUAGAUACCCCAGUAGUCCCUGUCUCUUAUAC